rnacentral:rRNA from 1 species
AGGGUUUGAUCAUGGCUCAGGAUGAACGCUGGCAGUAUGCUUAACACAUGCAAGUCGUACGAAGAUAAAAUUGUGCUUGCACGAUUUUAUACUUAGUGGCGGACGGGUGAGUAACACGUAAGAAUCUACCUUUUGGCGAGGGACAACCACUGGAAACGGUGGCUAAUACCUCAUAUAACUGAGAAGUGAAAGAUGAAAAUCACCAAGAGAUGAGCUUGCGUCUGAUUAGCUAGUUGGUAAGGUAAAGGCUUACCAAGGCGACGAUCAGUAGCUGGUCUGAGAGGAUGAUCAGCCACACUGGGACUGAGACACGGCCCAGACUCCUACGGGAGGCAGCAGUGAGGAAUUUUCCGCAAUGGGCGAAAGCCUGACGGAGCAAUACCGCGUGAAGGAUUAAGGCCUAUGGGUUGUAAACUUCUUUUCUCAGAGAAGAAUUUUGACGGUAUCUGAGGAAUAAGCAUCGGCUAACUCUGUGCCAGCAGCCGCGGUAAGACAGAGGAUGCAAGCGUUAUCCGGAUUAAUUGGGCGUAAAGCGUCUGUAGGUGGUUUAUCAAGUUUUUUGUCAAAGAUCGGGGCUUAACUCCGGGCAGGCAGAGAAAACUAGUAGACUUGAGUUCGGUAGGGGCAGAGGGAAUUCCCGGUGGAGCGG